AGAGUUUGAUCGUGGCUCAGGAUGAACGCUAGCGGCGCGCUUAACGCAUGCAAGUCGAGCGAUGAGGCUUCCUUCGGGGAGUACAUCAGCGGCAGACGGGUGAGUAACACGUAGAUAACCUGCCCUCAAGACGGGGACAACCGGUGGAAACGGCGGCUAAUACCCGAUAUGCUCACAGUCUCGGGAGAGGGAGUGAGGAAAGGCUCAGGUGCUUGAGGAGGGGUCUGCGGCCCAUCAGCUAGUUGGUGAGGUAACGGCUCACCAAGGCAAGGACGGGUAGGGGGUGUGAGAGCACGGCCCCCCACAAUGGGACUGAGACACGGCCCAUACUUCUACGGAAGGCAGCAGCGGGGAAUAUUGCGCAAUGGACGGAAGUCAGACGCAGCGACGCCGCGUGGGUGACGAAGGCCUUCGGGUUGUAAAGCCCUUUUCUGGGGGAGGAGGAAGGACAGUACCUUAGGAAUAAGCGUCGGCUAACUACGUGCCAGCAGCCGCGGUAAGACGUAGGACGCAAGCGUUAUCCGGAUUUACUGGGCGUAAAGCGCCUGUAGGCGGUGAUAUAAGUCGGAUGUGAAAGCCCCGUGCUCAACGCGGGGAAGCCAUUCGAUACUGUGUGACUAGAGGGCGGCAGAGGGAAACGGAAUUUCUGGUGUAGCGGUAAAAUGCGCAGAGAUCAGAAAGAACACCAAUGGCGAAGGCAGUUUCCUAGGCCGCACCUGACGCUGAGAGGCGAAAGCUAGGGGAGCGAACAGGAUUAGAGACCCUGGUAGUCCUAGCUGUAAACGCUGGAUGCUAGGUGUAGGUCGUAGAGAUCUGUGCCGGAGUUAACGCGAUAAGCAUCCCGCCUGGGGAGUACGGCCGCAAGGCUAAAACUCAAACGAAUUGACGGGGACCCGCACAAGCAGCGGAGCGUGUGGUUUAAUUCGAUGCUACACGAAGAACCUUACCUGGGCUUGACAUGUAGGUGGUAGCGAAGUGAAAGCGGAGCGACCCUUCGGGGAGCCUACACAGGUGCUGCAUGGCUGUCGUCAGCUCGUGCCGUGAGGUGUCGGGUUAAGUCCCGUAACGAGCGCAACCCUUGUCCUUAGUUACAAGUGUCUAAGGAGACUGCCGGUGACAAACCGGAGGAAGGUGGGGAUGACGUCAAGUCAGCAUGGCCCUUAUGUCCAGGGCGACACACACGCUACAAUGGUCGGUACAAUGGGCAGCGCAGCCGCGAGGUGAAGCGAAUCCCAACAAAGCCGAUCCCAGUUCGGGUUGCAGCCUGCAUGAAGCCGGAGUUGCUAGUAACCGCGCGUCAGCCAUAGUGCGGUGAAUACGUUCCCGGGUCUUGUACACACCGCCCGUCACGUCAUGGGAGUCGGCAACGCCUGAAGCCGGUAGUCUGACCGCAAGGGAGGCGCCGUCGAGGGUGGGGCUGGUGACUGGGACGAAGUCGUAACAAGG
rnacentral:rRNA from 1 species